rnacentral:rRNA from 1 species
GAUGAACGCUGGCGGCGUGCCUAAUACAUGCAAGUCGAGCGAACAGACGAGGAGCUUGCUCCUCUGACGUUAGCGGCGGACGGGUGAGUAACACGUGGAUAACCUACCUAUAAGACUGGGAUAACUUCGGGAAACCGGAGCUAAUACCGGAUAAUAUAUUGAACCGCAUGGUUCAAUAGUGAAAGACGGUUUUGCUGUCACUUAUAGAUGGAUCCGCGCCGCAUUAGCUAGUUGGUAAGGUAACGGCUUACCAAGGCGACGAUGCGUAGCCGACCUGAGAGGGUGAUCGGCCACACUGGAACUGAUACACGGUCCAGACUCCUACGGGAGGCAGCAGUAGGGAAUCUUCCGCAAUGGGCGAAAGCCUGACGGAGCAACGCCGCGUGAGUGAUGAAGGUCUUCGGAUCGUAAAACUCUGUUAUUAGGGAAGAACAAAUGUGUAAGUAACUAUGCACGUCUUGACGGUACCUAAUCAGAAAGCCACGGCUAACUACGUG